GAGAAACGCGAUCCGUAGCGGCGGACGGGUGAGUAACACGUGAGGAACCUGCCUUACGACAGGGGAAUAACACCGUGAAAACGGUGCUAAUACCGCAUAACACCGCACUAUGGCAUCAUAGAACGGUCAAAGGAGAAAUCCGGUGUAAGAUGGCCUCGCGCCCGAUUAGUUAGUUGGUGGGGUAAUGGCCUACCAAGACUGCGAUCGGUAGCCGGACUGAGAGGUCGAACGGCCACAUUGGAACUGAGAGACGGUCCAGACUCCUACGGGAGGCAGCAGUGGGGAAUAUUGGGCAAUCGGGGGAAACCCUGACCCAGCAACGCCGCGUGAAGGAAGAAGGCCUUCGGGUUGUAAACUUCUUUGAUCAGGGAAGAAACAAAUGACGGUACCUGAAAAACAAGCCACGGCUAACUACGUGCCAGCCGCCGC
rnacentral:rRNA from 1 species